CAUAUAUAUAAUGAUAAAAUAAUAUAAAAUUAGAAAUAUAAAACUUAAAAAAACUCAACCUCUUCCCUGCCCAACAACCCAGAGCCCCAAUGUUCCCCACCCCAUCUCGCCGACACCUACUUCCCACCCUAUCUCCAUCCACCUCUUCUCCAUCUCUCAAACCCUCCGCGACACCGUUUCGCUAUCCCAGAAAUGCCAAACCCCCAAUCUCUCCGUCUACAAGCUCCGCCCCCAAAGCGACGUCGAUUCAAUCCUCGCUCGCCUCCACUGCCACGUCGCUGGGAUUUUGAUCAAGAGCGGCAUUCUCUUUGACGCCAAAGCCGAGGUUUGUUCAAGAAUUAGCAAACCAAUGGCCAGUCAUGGAAUUUAUCAAGACCACCAAGGAGCAUGUAGUCAUUUUUAAUAGCCAAAUUUGAUGGCUUACUUGGACUUGGAUUUUAAGAGAUACCAGUUGGAAAUGUUGUAUCUGUGUAUUUCAUGUGAUUAUGAGUUUCUGCUC